rnacentral:lncRNA from 1 species
AUACCCAUGACUGACACAGCAUACGUUAAAAUACAAAUAUGCCCAGCCAAUCAGAGAAAUUGAAAGUGGAGCAGCACUGCUGAUCCUUUCGUGAAAGUUCGAACGUCAAAUUUCGUUGCCAAUUAGCUACGGAAAUUGAAAAUCAAGGCAUUGGUUUUGUUUAACUUAACCUAUAUUGCAGAUUUUAUUUGCUUUGCUUGCUUCCUAAUAAUUGAUUAAUUAUCAACAAUUAUAUCAACUUUGCGACUAUUUGAGUGAAAAUUCAUAGUGUAUAGUGUUGAGUGUUUACUCCAUUAUCUAUACAAUCCAUAUCUGUGCUGGUUUUGGGCUCAAAAACAAACAAUUUUGUGUUUGAGUUUCAUUACCUUUCAAUAAACUUGCCAGUGUUUCUUAGUGCAUAAUUUCCUUCCACUUAAACGAAUAUUUGCACUUAUCUGUUGCUGUCUGUUAGACAAUUCACAAGAUCACUAAGUCAACAAAAUGCAAUCUGUGAAGUUUGUGAUAAGGAAUUUUCAAGCACAUCUACCAGAAACAGGCAUUGGAAAAAGUUUCACCCUGAAUUUGUUGGGAAGGAACAAAUAAAACACAUUAUAUGUCCAAUAUGUACUAAUGAUAUCCACACAUUUUCAUAUUUCAACUGUUUAAACAAACAUUUGCUUGAUAUUCACCAUAUAACUGUCAAAGAAUCAAUUUUAAAUUUUAGGAAUUUUGAAGAAUUCAUAUCUUGGAGGGCACAAGAUAAUAGGGAAGUAGAUUAUGCUUGUCAGACCUGAAACAAGUUUAAGAAUGGGGAAGAACACAUAUUUUACAAUUGCAACCAGAAGUGAUAUCAGAGGAUUUAAUAGCGCAUGCAAAGUGAGAAGUCUGGGGGAAGCAUUUGCAUUCAAGGAACAUGUCAACAAGACCAAACUCAAAUAGCUAUCAGCAUAAAAUUGUAAUAGAAGCCCAUAACAAAGCCGAAAAAAUGAAUGGUAAGGUAGAAUUUUUAGAAUUUGGAAAAUUUUAAGUACAAAGUGUUUCGGUAAGUGGUAAGUUCUAUGUUGUGUCUUAUCAUGAACUAUGUGAUGAGCAAUGUUGCACUGGAUACUGUAACAUCUAUAAAAUAUGUUUUCAUAAAUACAGAUGUUAGUAUCCAGAAAAUUCUGUCUAAACAGUACUUUGUAAACAUAUACGUGCUGUAGCCAUUUUUGAGCAGAGGAGCGAGUUUUUGUAGGUUCCCCAACUGUGAGUGAAGAGGAAGAGGAUAAUGUUUUGUUUGUUGAUCAACCCACAACUAGCCAAAUCAAUUAUCAGGAGGAUGUAAACCAUUUUAUUCAGGAGAGUUCAAAAAUGAAAGUCAAUAGUUCUGCAAUGGACUUUGAAGAAAAUCGAGAAAUUGCAUUGCAAGAAAUUUGUAGCUAUGGUAGAAGUUUAGAUAAAAAUGCAUUUGCCAGAUUUAUGGCUGUAAUCAACAAAUUUAAAAAUAAAGAAGUGAAGGAAGAAAAUUCUCAGGGCAUUGAAAAGAAAAAAAUUGAAAAGCAAAUGUACUAUCCAAAUAAAAAAUAAGCUAGAUUUCUUUGUGUAUUUAAUGGCUAGAUAAUAUUUGAAUUGUAGCUAUUUUUUUAUGUUUGUAUAGUUGUGAAGUUAACAAAAAUAGGAUGUGGUAUUUUAUAUGGUAUUUUGUGUUAUAAUCAGUGUAAUAUACUUAAUACUAAGUAUAUUUUUUGUAAGGUUUUGGUGCAGGUUUCAAAUUGUAAAUACAAAUUUUAUGUAAGAGGUCAUAUACAUCAGGUCAUAUAUGCUAGGUAUAGUUUUUGUAAGGCUUAAUUUGGUGUAGGUUUCAAAUUGUAAAAACAAAUUUUAAGACUUUCAAAUUUUAUAUCUUCUAUUUUAAGACUAAAAUGUUAUCUUAUUUUGUAUGUUAAUAUUCAACUAAUCAUUUUCUAUUACAUGUUGUUUGCUAUUUUUUUAAUAUUUUUUAGGGUGCUGAAAAGCUAGUUGGAUUAACUUGAAAUUCACGAGGGGGAAGAUCUGUGAGUAUAUAUUUAUUAAUUAAAAUGUAUACAAAGCAGUAAUUUUUUUCCAUGUUACUAUUGUAUGGAAAUUUGAAUAGCUUGGGCUGUAUAUACAUGACCAGUAGAGAUGACAAAUAAGCUAAAGAAGUGCGAGUCUACAUACCAUAUACCAGAUUAAUACAUUUAGCCUCUGCAUUUAAUUAAUUGAGGUUGUUGAUAUUAGAAAUACCAUAAAUUAUUAUAUUU